rnacentral:rRNA from 1 species
CCUACGGGGGGCAGCAGUAGGGAAUCUUUCACAAUGGGCGAAAGCCUGAUGGAGCAACGCCGCGUGCAGGAUGAAGGCCUUCGGGUUGUAAACUGCUUUCAUAAGCGAGAAAUAUGACGGUAACUUAUGAAGAAGGAUCGGCUAACUACGUGCCAGCAGCCGCGGUCAUACGUAGGAUCCGAGCAUUAUCCGGAGUGACUGGGUGUAAAGAGUUGCGUAGGUGGCAUAAUAAGUAGCUAGUGAAAUCUGGUGGCUCAACCAUUCAGACUAUUAGGUAAACUGUUAAGCUCGAGACCGUUAGGGGUAACUGGAAUUUCUAGUGUAGGAGUGAAAUCCGUAGAUAUUAGAAGGAACACCAAUAGCGUAGGCAGGUUGCUGGGACGGUUCUGACGCUAAGGCACGAAAGCGUAGGGAGCAAACGGGAUUAGAUACCCGGGUAGUC